rnacentral:lncRNA from 1 species
UAAACUUCAGUUUACUGGAGAAGUGUGUCUUAAGUGAUGUCAUCAACUUAAUACCUCACAGGGAUCUCUGGGGCUCAGUGCACUGUCUCUCCCAGAUGCAGCAAACUCUCCUGGUUGGAUGGAUAGCACUUCAGCAGUCUGGACUUCAAGUUUCUGUGUUUGAUUGGAGCACAGAUGGGAAGGCAUGA